GACGAACGCUGGCGGCAUGCCUAACACAUGCAAGUCGAACGAAGGCUUCGGCCUUAGUGGCGCACGGGUGCGUAACGCGUGGGAAUCUGCCCUUAGGUUCGGAAUAACAGUUAGAAAUGACUGCUAAUACCGGAUGAUGACGUAAGUCCAAAGAUUUAUCGCCUGAGGAUGAGCCCGCGUAGGAUUAGCUAGUUGGUGUGGUAAAGGCGCACCAAGGCGACGAUCCUUAGCUGGUCUGAGAGGAUGAUCAGCCACACUGGGACUGAGACACGGCCCAGACUCCUACGGGAGGCAGCAGUGGGGAAUAUUGGACAAUGGGCGCAAGCCUGAUCCAGCAAUGCCGCGUGAGUGAUGAAGGCCUUAGGGUUGUAAAGCUCUUUUACCCGUGAUGAUAAUGACGGUAGCGGGAGAAUAAGCCCCGGCUAACUACGUG
rnacentral:rRNA from 1 species